rnacentral:rRNA from 1 species
CAAUGGACGAAAGUCUGAUGGAGCAACGCCGCGUGAGCGAUGAAGGCCUUCGGGUCGUAAAGCUCUGUUGUUAGGGAAGAACAAGUACCGGAGUAACUGCCGGUACCUUGACGGUACCUAACCAGAAAGCCACGGCUAACUACGUGCCAGCAGCCGCGGUAAUACGUAGGUGGCAAGCGUUGUCCGGAAUUAUUGGGCGUAAAGCGCGCGCAGGCGGUCCUUUAAGUCUGAUGUGAAAGCCCACGGCUCAACCGUGGAGGGUCAUUGGAAACUGGGGGACUUGAGUGCAGAAGAGGAAAGCGGAAUUCCACGUGUAGCGGUGAAAUGCGUAGAGAUGUGGAGGAACACCAGUGGCGAAGGCGGCUUUCUGGUCUGUAACUGACGCUGAGGCGCGAAAGCGUGGGGAGCAAACAGGAUUAGAUACCCUGGUAGUCCACGCCGUAAACGAUGAGUGCUAAGUGUUAGGGGGUUUCCGCCCCUUAGUGCUGCAGCUAACGCAUUAAGCACUCCGCCUGGGGAGUACGGCCGCAAGGCUGAAACUCAAAGGAAUUGACGGAAGC